rnacentral:ncRNA from 1 species
CAGGCCGAGAGGCGCUGCAACGGACGGUUCGACUCCGUCCGCCACGCUCGGCCUGAUCCACUCCAUGCAAGGGCGCCUCCUAUUU